ACGUAGGGUGCAAGCGUUAUCCGGAAUCACUGGGUGUAAAGGGUGUGUAGGCGGAUUUGUGCGUCAGAGGUUAAAUAUCCAGGCUUAACUUGGAAAAUGCCUUUGAUACGGCAAGUCUUGAGUAUAAGAGAGGAAGAUGGAAUUCCUGGUGUAGAAGUGAAAUUCGUAGAUAUCAGGAGGAACACCGGUGGCGAAGGCGGUCUUCUGGCUUAUUACUGACGCUGAGGCACGAAAGCGUGGGGAUCAAACAG
rnacentral:rRNA from 1 species